rnacentral:rRNA from 1 species
CUCCGGUUGAUCCUGCCGGACCUGACUGCUAUCGGAUUGGUACUAAGCCAUGCGAGUCGUUGUAGCAAUACAAGGCGGACGGCUCAGUAACACGUAGUCAACCUAACCUAUGGACGUGGAUAACCUCGGGAAACUGAGAAUAAACCGCGAUAGAUCAUUAUGCCUGGAAUGGCUUAUGGUUCAAACAAUUUAUUGCCGUAGGAUGGGACUGCGGCCUAUCAGCUUGUUGGUGAGGUAAUGGCCCACCAAGGCUAUAACAGGUACGGGCUCUGAGAGGAGAAGCCCGGAGAUGGGUACUGAGACACGGACCCAGGCCCUAUGGGGCGCAGCAGGCGAGAAACCUUAGCAAUGUGCGAAAGCACGACUAGGUUAAUCCGAGUGAUUUCUGUUGAAGAAAUCUUUUGUCAGUCGUAAAACCACAGACGAAUAAGGGGUGGGCAAGUCUGGUGUCAGCCGCCGCGGUAAUACCAGCACCUCGAGUGGUCAGGAGGUUUAUUGGGCCUAAAGCAUCCGUAGCCGGCUACGCAAGUCUCCGGUUAAAUCCAGCUGCUCAACAGAUGGGCUGCCGGAGAUACUACAUAGCUAGGGAGCGGGAGAGGUAGACGGUAUUCUGUGGGUAGGGGUAAAAUCCACUGAUCCAUAGAGGACCACCAGUGGCGAAGGCGGUCUACCAGAACGCGUUCGACGGUGAGGGAUGAAAGCUGGGGGAGCAAACCGGAUUAGAUACCCGGGUAGUCCCAGCUGUAAACGAUGCAGACUCGGUGAUGCAUUGGCUUAUGGCCAAUGCAGUGCCGCAGGGAAGCCGUUAAGUUUGCCGCCUGGGAAGUACGGACGCAAGUCUGAAACUUAAAGGAUUGGCGGGGGAGCA